UUGUUGGCAUAGAGGGUCAUGGUGCUUCAGUAGUGCAUCAAGUGUCUAUCCAGAUCUUCAUCUCAUUUGAACAAGGUGAAAUGUGGCAAGCUAAACUUCCGCGGUGGCUCCAUUUACUCGAUCUCAUCCGUAAAUGGUGACCUGCUCAGGUUGGCCACGUCUUUAUGGAGGGCAUCGUUGGUGACAUCAAUACGCUGGAAUUCGUGCAAUUACUCUGCUACGAACCUUUGUACUUCCUCCUAGAUUUGCGCCUGGUGAGGCGGCG
rnacentral:lncRNA from 1 species